rnacentral:other from 1 species
UUUUCCCUGCGGUGUUCGCCAAGGCCAUACAUUCCUUGAACCUAUGCGCAUUGGCAUCGGUCGCCGCCCAAAGACGCCGCCGUUGUGAGCGCUCCCCGUCGAGCGCACCUGAAGCGGCAGGAACGCGACCACUCUGAACCUCGGUUCAGGAUGCCGGCCAAACGGCACUCGCGGGGAACCC